AAGCAUAUCAAUAAGCGGAGGAAAAGAAACUAACAAGGAUUCCCCCAGUAACGGCGAGUGAAGAGGGAAAAGCCCAAAUUUGUAAUCUGGCUCUUUCACAAGGGUCCGAGUUGUAAUUUUGAGAACUGUUUUCUGUGCUGGACCAUCUCUAAGUCUGUUGGAAAACAGCAUCAUAGAGGGUGAUAAUCCCGUUUGUGAUAUGGACUACCAGGGCUAUAUGAUACAGUUUCUAAGAGUCGAGUUGUUUGGGAAUGCAGCUCAAAGUGGGUGGUAAAUUCCAUCUAAGGCUAAAUAUAGGUGAGAGACCGAUAGCAUACAAGUACCGUGAGGGAAAGAUGAAAAGAACUUUGGAAAGAGAGUUAACAGUGUGUGAAAUUGUUGUAAAGGAAACAUUUAAACUUAUUGUUGUGCUUGUCAGUUCAGCCCUCUUAUCAGGGUGUAUUCUGGCAAAUCACGGGCCAACAUCAGUUUUUGAGUGCUGGAUAAGGGUCUUGGGAAUGUAGCAGUCUAGGCUGUGUUAUAGCCCAUGAUUUAGAUACAGUGCUUAGGACUGAGAACAAUCUGCAGCAAGCCCUUUAUUGUGGCAGCCUGUCAUGGGCACCUAUGCUAAGGAUGUUGGUGAGAUAGAUUUAAAUGACGCGUCUUGAAACACGGACCAAGGAGA
rnacentral:rRNA from 1 species